rnacentral:rRNA from 1 species
UGGGGAAUAUUGCACAAUGGGCGAAAGCCUGAUGCAGCGACGCCGCGUGAGGGAUGACGGCCUUCGGGUUGUAAACCUCUUUCAGCAGGGACGAAGCGCAAGUGACGGUACCUGCAGAAGAAGCACCGGCUAACUACGUGCCAGCAGCCGCGGUAAUACGUAGGGUGCAAGCGUUGUCCGGAAUUACUGGGCGUAAAGAGUUCGUAGGCGGUUUGUCGCGUCUUUUGUGAAAACCAGCAGCUCAACUGCUGGCUUGCAGGCGAUACGGGCAGACUUGAGUACUGCAGGGGAGACUGGAAUUCCUGGUGUAGCGGUGAGAUGCGCAGAUAUCAGGAGGAACACCGGUGGCGAAGGCGGGUCUCUGGGCAGUAACUGACGCUGAGGAACGAAAGCGUGGGUAGCGAACAGG